rnacentral:rRNA from 1 species
CUACGGGAGGCUCCAGUGAGGAAUAUUGCACAAUGGGGGGAACCCUGAUGCAGCAACGCCGCGUGGAGGAUGACGCAUUUCGGUGUGUAAACUCCUUUUAUAUGUCAAGAAAAUGACGGUAGCAUAUGAAUAAGCACCGGCUAACUCCGUGCCAGCAGCCGCGGUAAUACGGAGGGUGCAAGCGUUACGCGGAAUCACUGGGCGUAAAGGACGCGUAGGCGGGUUGGAAAGUCAGGUGUGAAAUCCUACAGCUUAACUGUAGAACUGCACCUGAAACUUCUAAUCUAGAGUAUGGGAGGGGGAGAUGGAAUUAGUGGUGUAGGGGUAAAAUCCGUAGAUAUCACUAGGAAUACCUAAAGCGAAGGCGAUCUCCUGGAACAUUACUGACGCUAAGGCGUGAAAGCGUGGGGAGCAAACAGGAUUAGAUACCCCCGUAGUC